UACGGGGGGGGCAAGCGUUGUUCGGAAUUACUGGGCGUAAAGGGCUCGUAGGCGGCCAUCUAAGUCGGACGUGAAAUCCCUCGGCUCAACCGGGGAACUGCGUCUGAGACUGAUGAGCUCGAGUGCAGGAGAGGAACGCGGAAUUCCAGGUGUAGCGGUGAAAUGCGUAGAUAUCUGGAGGAACACCGGUGGCGAAGGCGGCGUUCUGGACUGCAACUGACACUGAGGAACGAAAGCCAGGGGAGCAAACGGG
rnacentral:rRNA from 1 species